GACGAACGCUGGCGGCGUGCUUAACACAUGCAAGUCGAACGGAAAGGCCCCCACUUUUUUGGUGGGGGUGCUCGAGUGGCGAACGGGUGAGUACACGUGGGUGAUCUGCCCUGUACUUCGGGAUAAGCUUGGGAAACUGGGUCUAAUACCGGAUAGGACCAUGGUUUAGUGUCUCAUGGUGGAAAAAUUAUUGUUUUGGUGCAGGAUGAGCUCGCGGCCUAUCAGCUUGUUGGUGGGGUAAUGGCCUACCAAGGCGUCGACGGGUAGCCGGCCUGAGAGGGUGGACGGCCACAUUGGGACUGAGAUACGGCCCAGACUCCUACGGGAGGCAGCAGUGGGGAAUAUUGCACAAGGGGCGCAAGCCUGAUGCAGCGACGCCGCGUGGGGGAGGACGGCCUUCGGGUUGUAAACUCCUUUCGUUAGGGACGAAGCCGCACCUUGUGUGGGUGUGGUGACGGUACCUGUGUUAAGAAGCACCGGCUAACUACGU
rnacentral:rRNA from 1 species